CCUACGGGAGGCAGCAGUAGGGAAUCUUCCACAAUGGGCGAAAGCCUGAUGGAGCAACGCCGCGUGGGUGAAGAAGGUCUUCGGAUCGUAAAACCCUGUUGUUAGAGAAGAAAGUGCGUGAGAGUAACUGUUCACGUUUCGACGGUAUCUAACCAGAAAGCCACGGCUAACUACGUGCCAGCAGCCGCGGUAAUACGUAGGUGGCAAGCGUUAUCCGGAUUUAUUGGGCGUAAAGGGAACGCAGGCGGUCUUUUAAGUCUGAUGUGAAAGCCUUCGGCUUAACCGGAGUAGUGCAUUGGAAACUGGGAGACUGGAGUGCAGAAGAGGAGAGUGGAACUCCAUGUGUAGCGGUGAAAUGCGUAGAUAUAUGGAAGAACACCAGUGGCGAAAGGGGCUCUCUGGUCUGUAACUGACGCUGAGGUUCGAAAGCGUGGGUAGCAAACAGGAUUAGAUACCCCAGUAGUC
rnacentral:rRNA from 1 species